rnacentral:rRNA from 1 species
GACGGACGCUGGCGGCGUGCUUAACACAUGCAAGUCGAACGGAAAGGCCCCAGCUUGCUGGGGUACUCGAGUGGCGAACGGGUGAGUAACACGUGGGUGAUCUGCCCUGCACUCUGGGAUAAGCCUGGGAAACUGGGUCUAAUACCGGAUAGGACCGUGCUUUAGUGUGUGCGGUGGAAAGUUUUUCGGUGCAGGAUGAGCCCGCGGCCUAUCAGCUUGUUGGUGGGGUAAUGGCCUACCAAGGCGGCGACGGGUAGCCGGCCUGAGAGGGUGUACGGCCACAUUGGGACUGAGACACGGCCCAGACUCCUACGGGAGGCAGCAGUGGGGAAUAUUGCACAAUGGGCGCAAGCCUGAUGCAGCGACGCCGCGUGGGGGAUGACGGCCUUCGGGUUGUAAACCCCUUUCGGCAGGGAUGAAGCUUUUGUGACGGUACCUGCAUAAGAAGCACCGGCUAACUACGUG